UGUGGGAGCGAGCUUGCUCGCGAUGAGGGCCGCACAUUCAACAUGACUGUUGCCUGGUAGACCGCUAUCGCGAGCAAGCUCGCUCCCACA
rnacentral:misc_RNA from 1 species